GCGGAAGUGGCGGAAUGGCAGACGCGCUAGCUUCAGGAGCUAGUGGGGGCAACCUCAUGAGGGUUCAACUCCCUCCUUCCGCACCA
rnacentral:tRNA from 1 species